rnacentral:rRNA from 1 species
UACGUAGGGGGCAAGCGCUGUUCGGAUUCAUUGGGCGUAAAGGGUGCGUAGGUGGCGGGGUAAGUCAGGUGUGAAAUCUCGAGGCUCAACCUCGAAACUGCACUUGAUACUGCCUUGCUCGAGUACUGGAGAGGAGAUUGGAAUUUACGGUGUAGCAGUGAAAUGCGUAGAUAUCGUAAGGAAGACCAGUGGCGAAGGCGAAUCUCUGGACAGUUACUGACACUGAGGCACGAAGGCCAGGGGAGCAAACGGG